rnacentral:lncRNA from 1 species
GUUCUGUGGGAAUUAGAGGUAAACACCUCCCUUGAACGUGAGUUCUCAUAGUAUAAGCGAUGUCCGUUGGAGAGCCUGAUGAUGUCCCACCACGAUGCAACGGCUCUCCUGGCUGGGGCUAGUGGAAGCAGUUUUGAUGGAAGUUAAGGAUUUGCAACUUAGAGGAUUUCUGGGAUAAUUCUCUUAAAGUAGUGACUUCACCAACAGGAAUUCCAGGCCCCCUGGUGUGCCAGCUCAAGGGAUAAGCAGAGUAUGUCGGGUUCCCAGGUGCCAAUGAACAGAGAAAUAGCCAAAGGGCUCGCUGAGUGGGAGCAGAGAUGACGUGAAACAAGGUCCCAGCUUGAACACUCUGAGUUUUGAACAGAUAUGUCUGAGAGGACAUCUGCCAGAAGCCUAUUUGCAUGAGGAACUUAGAAACCUCCAGGAGAAAGCUCAGACUGAAGGAAAGAGGAGUCGGCUUGCCAACUGCAAGGCACCAGACAAUAAAUAAUGCCUUAGUGGUCAAUGGAAAGGUUGGGAUUUUUAGAACCUAUGGUUCCCAGUGCUUAGCUUUGUCUCCAUGUCCAACACCCCCAUGUGAAUCCUACAGAAAGUUGUGGGGCAGAGGGGCAAAAAAAAUAAAGCUAUGUUUCCCUAAAAAAUCUCUAGUAUUUAGGGAUAUCAAGGCACACUGUCUUGGUCCAUUCAGGCUGCUGUAAAAAAUACUUUAGACCAAGUGAUAUGCAAACAGCUGAAAUUUAUUGCUCACAGUUGUGGGGCUGGGAAGUCCAAGAUUAAAGUGCCUGUAGAUUCUGUGUCUGGUGAGGGCCUGUUCCUCACAGUGGCUCCGUCUCCUGUGUUCUCCCACGGUGGAAAGGGCAAAUGAG